GAUGAACGCUGGCGGCGUGCCUAAUACAUGCAAGUCGAGCGAACAGACGAGGAGCUUGCUCCUCUGACGUUAGCGGCGGACGGGUGAGUAACACGUGGAUAACCUACCUAUAAGACUGGGAUAACUUCGGGAAACCGGAGCUAAUACCGGAUAAUAUAUUGAACCGCAUGGUUCAAUAGUGAAAGACGGUUUUGCUGUCACUUAUAGAUGGAUCCGCGCCGCAUUAGCUAGUUGGUAAGGUAACGGCUUACCAAGGCAACGAUGCGUAGCCGACCUGAGAGGGUGAUCGGCCAAAAUGGAACUGAGACACGGUCCAGACUCCUACGGGAGGCAGCAGUGGGAAUCUUCCGCAAUGGGCGAAAGCUUGACGGAGCAACGCCGCGUGAGUGAUGAAGGUCUUCGGAUCGUAAAACUCUGUUAUUAGGGAAGAACAAAUGUGUAAGUAACUAUGCACGUCUUGACGGUACCUAAUCAGAAAGCCACGGCUAACUACGUG
rnacentral:rRNA from 1 species